AGAAACCUAACAGGGAUUCGCCCUAGUAACGGCGAGUGAAGCGGCAACAGCUCAAAUUUGAAAUCUGGCCUCUUUGGGGGUCCAAGUUGUAAUUUGCAAAGGGUGCUUUGGCGUUGGCUGUGGUCUAAGUUCCUUGGAACAGGACGUCACAGAGGGUGACAAUCCCGUAUGUGGCCGCCAGUCUUCGCCGUGUAAAGCCCCUUCGACGAGUCGAGUUGUUUGGGAAUGCAGCUCUAAAUGGGAGGUAAAUUUCUUCUAAAGCUAAAUAUUGGCCAGAGACCGAUAGCGCACAAGUAGAGUGAUCGAAAGAUGAAAAGCACUUUGGAAAGAGAGUCAAAAAGCACGUGAAAUUGUUGAAAGGGAAGCGCUUGCAACCAGACUUGCUUGCAGUUGUUCACCCGGGCUCUUGCCCGGUCUACUCUUCUGCUCGCAGGCCAGCAUCAGUCCGGGCGGUUGGAUAAAGGCCUAUUAAACGUACCUCCCCUCGGGGAGGACUUAUAGGGUAGGCGACAUGCAACCAGCCCGGAUUGAGGUCCGCGCUUUUGCUAGGAUGCUGGCGUAAUGGCUGUAAGCGGCCCGUCUUGAAACACGGACCAAGGAGUCUAACAUCUAUGCGAGUGUUUGGGUGUCAAGCCCGAGCGCGUAAUGAAAGUGAACGGAGGUGGGAACCUUUCGGGGUGCACCAUCGACCGAUCCUGAUGUCUUCGGAUGGAUUUGAGUAAGAGCAUAUCUGUUGGGACCCGAAAGAUGGUGAACUAUGCCUGAAUAGGGUGAAGCCAGAGGAAACUCUGGUGGAGGCUCGCAGCGGUUCUGACGUGCAAAUCGAUCGUCAUAUUUG
rnacentral:rRNA from 2 species